rnacentral:tRNA from 1 species
GGGCGCGGGGUCGUCCCGGCCCACAAGAAAUCCUACCAGCUUGGGGUGCUGGCGACUCCGGUUCAAAUCCGGACGGACCCA